rnacentral:ncRNA from 2 species
CGCGGCUUGUCAGGAGAGAGCCGACGCCACCGUGCCGAGGCCGCCGAAGGCGCAGGGCCCACCAACGCGAGUUGGCCGCCCGAACGCUCAGGCAAAAGGACUGGCAAACAUGG